GUUUGAUCCUGGCUCAGGACGAACGCUGGCGGCGUGCCUAAGACAUGCAAGUCGAGCGGGGCGGUCCCGCAAGGGGCUGCUCAGCGGCGGACGGGUGAGUAACACGUGGGUAACCUGCCCGCUGCAGGGGGAUAACAGCUCGAAAGGGCUGCUAAUACCCCAUAAGCUCACGGGGGCUGAGGCCUCUGGGAGAAAAGGGGCGCCGUAAAGGAGCCCUGGCAGCGGAGGGGCCCGCGGCCCAUCAGGUAGUUGGUGGGGUAACGGCCCACCAAGCCGACGACGGGUAGCCGGCCUGAGAGGGUGGGCGGCCACACUGGGACUGAGACACGGCCCAGACUCCUACGGGAGGCAGCAGUCGGGAAUCUUGCGCAAUGGGCGAAAGCCUGACGCAGCGACGCCGCGUGGGGGAAGAAGGCCUUCGGGUUGUAAACCCCUGUUGCCCCGGACGAAGGACCACAGGAGGAAAUGCCUGUGGGGUGACGGUACGGGGCGAGGAAGCCACGGCUAACUACGUGCCAGCAGCCGCGGUAAUACGUAGGUGGCGAGCGUUGUCCGGAAUGACUGGGCGUAAAGGGCGUGUAGGCGGUCCUGUAAGUCUGGGGUGAAAACCGGCGGCUCAACCGCCGGCCUGCCCUGGAAACUGCGGGGCUAGAGUGGGCUAGAGGGCAGCGGAAUUCCCGGUGUAGCGGUGAAAUGCGUAGAGAUCGGGAGGAACACCAGUGGCGAAGGCGGCUGCCUGGGGCCUAACUGACGCUGAGGCGCGAAAGCUGGGGGAGCAAACAGGAUUAGAUACCCUGGUAGUCCCAGCCGUAAACGAUGAGCGCUACGUGGGGGUGGGGUUACUCCUGCCGUGCGGAAGCCAACGCAUUAAGCGCUCCGCCUGGGGAGUACGGCCGCAAGGCUGAAACUCAAAGGAAUUGACGGGGGCCCGCACAAGCGGUGGAGCAUGGUGGUUUAAUUCGAAGCAACGCGUAGAACCUUACCUGGGCUUGACAUGCCGUGUACCCGCCGAAAGUGGGGAGCCCCUCUUCCGGAGGGAGGGCGGCACAGUGUGCAUGUGUCGUCAGCUCGUGUCGUGAGAUGUGGGUAGUCCGCAACGAGCGCCACCCUGCCCAUGUGCCAGCGGUGAUGCCGGACUCAUGGGGGACUGCCGGGACGAACCCGAAGAAAGUUG
rnacentral:rRNA from 1 species